AGGCUGGCGGGAUCCUCCAUAUGCUGAACGCUGGUUCCCCGGGUCCCCUUAUUUCUUUCUCUAUACUUUGUCUCUGUGUCUUUUUCUUUUCCAAGUCUCUCGUUCCACCUUACGAGAAACACCCACAGGUGUGGAGGGGCAACCCACCCCUUCAAGCCUCUGCUCCUCCACCCUAUAAUUCUUUUAUCACCUCCCCUCCACACACCCGUCCGGCUUACAGUUUCAUUCCGUGACUAGCCCUCCCCCACCUGCCCAGCAAUUUACUCUUAAAAAGGUGGCUGGAGCUAAAGGCAUAGUCAAGGUUAAUGCUCCUUUUUCUUUAUCCCAAAUCAGAUAGCGUUUAGGCUCUUUUUCAUCAAAUAUAAAAAACCCAGCCCAGUUCAUGGCUCGUUCGGCAGCAACCCUGAGAUGCUUUACAGCCCUAGACCUAAAAGGUCAAAAGGCUGUAUUAUUCUCAAUAUACAUUUUAUUACUCAAUCUGCUCCCGACAUUAAAUAAAACUCCAAAAAUUAAAUUCCAGCCCUCAAACCCCACAACAGGAUUUAAUUAACCUCACCUUCAAGGUGUACAAUAAUAGAAAAAAGUCGCAAUUCCUUGCCUUUACUGUGAGACAAACCCCAGCCACAUCUCCAGCCCACAAGAACUUCCAAACGCCUAAACCGCAGUGGCCAGGCGUUCCUCCAGAACCUCCUCCCCCAGGAACUUGCUACAAGUGCCAGAAAUCUGACCACCAGGCCGAGGAAUGCCUGCAGCCCAGGAUUCCUCCUAAGCCGUGUCCCAUCUGCGCGGGACCCCACUGGAAAUCGGACUGUUCAACUCACCUGGCAGCCACUCCCAGAACCCCUGGAAUUCUGGCCCAAGGCUCUCUGACUGACUCCUUCUCGGCUUAGCAGCUGAAGACUGAUGCUGCCUGAUCGCCUUGGAAGCCCCGUAGACCAUCGCGGAUGCCGAGCUUUAAGUAAUCUCACAGUGGAGGGAUAUGGUGGUAUGGACCUGUUGCCCCAGCUACUCAGGAGGCCGAGAUGAAACAAUCACCUGACCCCAGGAAGUCGGGGCUGCAGUGAACUAGGAUCAUGCCACUGCACUCUAGCCUGGGCAACAAGGCAGUUUUUGAUCAAGGGGAACUUCAGAAUGACCGUGCUUGUCCAAGAUGGCGAUGCUUUGGCUCUGUCACCCAUCAUCCCACAACAUUGACGCUGGAGGUCCUGGGGCCUAGAAAAGAAAUGCUGUUAGAGGAAACAGUCAUGCUUCUGAUGAAUCGGAAGUUGAAGCUACUCCCUGCUCAUUUGGGGCUCUGCAUGCCAUAGACCAAGAAGCAAAGAGAGGGGUUAUGGUAGUAGGUAGAGGAUGGACCCUGAUCACAGGAUGAAACUGGAUUGCUGCUGUUGAAAAGGGGCGAGGAAGACAGUGUCUGAAAUCAGAGACAUCACUGGAGCACUCCUAGUCCAACAGUCCUAGUCAAUGGAAAACUGUGGCCACCCCCAAAUACAAUGCAACUGUCUUAGUCUGUUUUCCAUUGCUAUAACAAAACACCUGUCUUAGUCCAACUGGGUAAAUUACAAAGGAAAGGGGCUUACUUAGCCCACGCUUCUGGAGGCUGAGAAGUCCAAAAUGGAUGGCCACAUUUGGUGAGGGCCUUGUGCUGCUUCUAGCAUGGGAGAAAAUAGGAAGCAGAAGAGGGCACGCGGCCAGAGGCAGCCUUGCUUUGUAACAACUGGCAACUGCAGUAAUCAAUCGAGUCCCACAAGAAGAACUCACGCACUCCUGCGCUAAUCCCUUCGUGAAGCUGGAUCCCUCAUGACUCAAACACCCCUUAAAUGUCCCGCCACCUCUCAACAUCAUUACAGUGGGGACCAAGCCUCAAGAUGAGUUUCGGUGGGGACAAACAAUGUUCAAACGAUCGCAGCGGCCGAGGACUCAGACCCUGCAGGAAUGAAGAUUUGGGUCACCUCGCCAAGUAGAGAACCCUGUCCAAAAAGGUGCCAGCAGAGGUAAGGUGAGCACAGAAUGGAAGUUAUGAUUACCUGCUUAGGUUUUGGGGACAGCUAAGGAGGUGGGGACUGUAGCAGCUACAUUUCAUGAAUUUGGGGCUUUUUUUCUUCCCCAUCUCAAUCCAUUCUCCAUCUUAAUCCAUCUGGGUUACUGUAACAGAAUACUAUAGACUGGGUGUAGCAUAAAUCACAGAAAUUUAUUUCCCACCGUUCUGGAGGCUGAGAAGCCUCAGAUCGAGGGGAUCGAGGAGCCAGCGGAUUUGGCGUCUGGUGAAGGCUUGCUUCAUGGCUCAUAACCAGCAUCUUCUUCAUGUGGCCUCACAUGUCAGAAGGCACAAAGGAUUCCUCUAGGGCCUCUUUUAUAAGAACCUGAUCCCACUCAUGAGGACCGCAUCCUCGUACCCUAAUCACCUCCCAAAGGCCCCAUCUCACACCAUCCCCUUGAGGGUCAGCAUUUCAACACAGGAAUUGCGAGGAGACGUAAACAUUCACUCUGUUGGGUUGGGCACCAUGGCUUACGCCUGUAAUCCCAACACUUUGAGAUCAGCAGUUCAAGACUAGUCUGGCCAACAUGGCAAAACAUUGUCUCUGCUAAAAAUACAAACAUUAGCCGGGUGUGCACUUGCAACCUCAGAUACUUGGGAGGCUGAGGCAGGAGUCACUUGAGACUGGGAGGCAGCAGUUGCAGUGAGCAGAGAUCAUGCCAGUGCACUCCAGCCUAGGGGACAAAGCAAGAAACAUCUUAAAAAAAAAAUUCACUCCGUUGCACCCCGUUUUACUCAUUACCUUAACUGAGGAACACCGGCGAUUUCAGCUGAGAGUAUGACCAGCUGACAUCAGUCCACAAUGAUAUGGUAGCUAUUACGACUUAUAGAUCCCCUGUGUUAGGCGAACAAGCUCUUCACCUGGACAAAAGUCUAGAGCGGGUGCUGAGAGGCCAAAGGGCUGGGCUGGGCUAUUUACCUUUUGUUUGCCCCUCCGUAUGCACCCCCUCACCAUCUCCACCCUGCCCUCUGAGGCUGACCAGUGUGGUCCACAUCCACCAACUCCCGUGGCAGGUGGCCAGAGGGAGACAGGAGAGGGAGGUCAGGGUGUUUAUUUCCCUGGCUGGCUGUAUCCCUCAAGGGACAAUGACAUCUUCUCUUCCUGGGGCCUCGCAGCACCGCUCUCUCCCUGUGGGUGCCAGGGACUGUUCUCCCCUUCAUCCCUUCAAGCUUCGUGAGGGCACCGCCUGGCUGCUGCUAAACUCUGGAUUACUGCGCCAUCCUUUGUGGUUCCCCGACACCCACAUCUUUGCAAAUAAACUCUCCUCCAGUGAUCCUAUUUUGAAUAUGCCAUCUGUUUCCUGGUGGGAGACCAACUAAUACAGUGGGUUUUAUGCCAAAAUGACUCUGCUAACAGUUUCAUAUUUGAACUGCAACUUGUGGUGUCCUGGCUUUUCCCUCUUAAAAUCGGAGCUGUUUUGAGGAGAGCCUGGGAGUGCCUGCCCGUCACCCUGGCAAAAGGGCGAAGGAACACAAUGUAAUCAUCUAACAUGGUGCCUGGGGCAAACAGACUCAACUGCUGGAAGAUUCUUUCCAGUUCCCCAUUUCCCUGUUAUCCCAUUAAGGGCCCCAGGCUCCGUACUGCAAACGAGGCUGCUGGAGGGAGUCAGCAUCCUUUGUGUGCCUAUAAUGCAAGUUCGUGAUUUGAAGCAGGGAGGGGUUAGAGUCAUCUUAGC
ensembl:lncRNA novel transcript